rnacentral:sRNA from 1 species
GGAGAAAGAUGGCGACAGCCGAGAAGCAGAAACACGACGGGCGGGUGAAGAUCGGCCACUACAUCCUGGGUGACACGCUGGGGGUCGGCACCUUCGGCAAAGUGAAGGUUGGCAAACAUGAAUUGACUGGGCAUAAAGUAGCUGUGAAGAUACUCAAUCGACAGAAGAUUCGGAGCCUUGAUGUGGUAGGAAAAAUCCGCAGAGAAAUUCAGAACCUCAAGCUUUUCAGGCAUCCUCAUAUAAUUAAACUGGUUUUGAAAAGUUUCUUCCUAGGCCGUGUGCGGUGGCUCACACCUGUAAUUCCAGCACUUUGGGAGGCUGAGGCAGGCGGAUCACCUGAGGUCAGGACUUCGAGACCAGCCUGGCCAACAUGGUGAAACCCUGUCUCCAGUAAAAAUACAAAAAUUAGCUGGGCAUGGUGGUGG